rnacentral:lncRNA from 1 species
UUGCUGUUUUUUAUUUUUUUAGAGCUUUUCAUCUCCUCCUCUCUUCCUCCUCUAGAUUUCUUCAUCCUUUGAAGUGUCCAAAGUGCUUGAAGAAAAAGGAAGAGAUCAGCCAUCAAAGUUGCUUGCAAGCUAGCACCUCCAAGUCUUUGAUCUGCAUCAGUCUUCACAUGGAUUUUCUUAUAGAGGCCAGAUGAUUUCGUGUGGCUGUGAGUGAUCUAAGAAAUACCUUCUCCAACCAUUGGACUAGAGAAAAAUAAUAUCAAAGUUGUUUGGUAAUAUUUUCUAUUUUAUCUUGAUCGUAAUGUUAGAUCUAACAGUUAGAUCUAGAAUUUUAGCAUUGAUGAAAUCGAUAUAUUUUUAUUUUUAGAUCUAAAGUAUAUAUUUUUUAUAUCAUAGAUCAUGAUAUAGUAGUCUAAUACUAGAUCUUAUGCAUGUGAUUGAGAUUAAAUUAUUUAAUCUUUUAUUUUUGCUGCAUAAAAUUUUUAAAUCGUAUGCAUCGCACUGCUAUAUUUUUCCUUCAAAGCCGUUAUUGGGUUUCUCACCUAACAGUUAUUAGGCCCAACCCCAUCUCUAUCUUGGAACAUCUCAUGCUAAUAGAGUGGUUGCAUAUUUUCAAUGUAAUUGAACCACUGUGACUAGCUGAGAACAAUCAACACUAGUAGCAUGCCCGUAUCUCUACAAUGAUAGAAGACCACUAGACUUAAUAUAUAUGAGAAGAUUUAAUUUAGAUCUUUUCAAUUUUAAUUGUUUAUUUAC